GCUGUAAACACGCGUCGAAGGUGCGCGAAUCAUGCAAACGGAAUUCACCCGAGCGUUCAAGAUAAUAUCGUGGAACAGACGGUUCUUAAUCAUUCUCGGAAUAUGGCCUACUAAAGUGAAUCGGGUGGCGUUCGUAUUCUUCCUCGUCUACGUGGCGAUCCAUUGCACCAUGGGAGGGGCUCACUUGGUCAAAUAUUUCAGCAAGCCGGAAUACAUCGUCGCCAAUCUGACGGAGAACGUUCUAUUCACGAUGAUAAUAGGCAAGAUGCUCAUAUGCGAGCGCAGCCGCAGGAUAAUGGUCUACUUUUUAAACACCAUCCAGCCCGACUUUUCGGCCAAGAGUUACAGCAACGCGCGGGAGAAGGCGUUGUAUUUGCAUUACAACGAGUUCGCACUUAUAUUCAUCAAAGUGUCGCUAGGCUUGGCCACGUUAACGACUAUAUUGUAUUAUAUAAUGGGGUUUCUCGAAAACUGGACAGUAUCGACUCGUAACGCUUCGUACGAAUUACCAUACCGGACGUAUCCUUUCUUCGAAAUCCAGGAUAGUACCACCUACUUCUGCCUUUGCGCUUAUCAAAUAAUUGCCUUGCCGACGAUAGUGUGCGGCUAUUCGGCACCGGAUUCCUUCGUACUCAGCAUGGCCCUCCACAUCUGCGGCCAACUCGCCGUUCUGUCGUGUAAAAUCGAACAAUUGUUGAAAGAUCACGAGAAUUAUAAUCAUCAUAUCGGUACCAUUGUAUUGAGGCAUCGUCAGCUAAUCAAAUUAGCAGAGAUCUUGGAAAACAAUUUCAGUAUGAUAUUUCUUCAGCAAACUCUAGGCACCGUUUUCUUGCUCUGUUUGACUACGUAUCAUAUGUUCGCGAAUUCGGUGAAUGGCGCCAGCACUAACGUCGUGACUUUCUUGUUGUACACAAGCUGCGUGAUCAGCACGAUUUUCGCGUACUGUUACAUCGGAGAAUGCCUCAUUAAGGAGAGCGUCAGAUUGCGCGACACUUUUUACAACACCGAUUGGUACAAUAUUUCGCCGUCGUGCGGGAAGAUUCUCAGUAUUUGUAUGAUCCGACCCGAAAAGCCGCUGGUGUUGACCGCCGGUAAAUUCUACCCGUUAUCACUGAACACAUUCACAAGUAUAGUGAAAACUUCGAUGGCGUACUUGUCCAUAUUGCGCAACUUCCUGUGAGAAGUCUUCGAAAAAAGUCUUCGCAUGAGAAGAUUCGAAAUAUUUUUCGAAAUAUGAAUUACGGAGAAUACGCGAAAAUUUAUCUACAAGACGAGAUAUAGGCAUAAGCAAAACUAGAUUUUUAAUUGUAUUUGAUGACCCCAUAAUUUUGAUGAAUUCAUGAACUUACCAGCGUCAAAUAAAUACCUUGCCUUAUAUCAAUAAUAAUCUUCGAUACAAAUCUCUCCGUUAAGCUGCUCGUACACAAUGAAAGAUAACGAAAGAUAAUUUUUAUAAAUAAAAUUGGUGUAAAUAUUAUCGUUUUGCUACAGCUUGCUUCUCUCACAUGUCGAUGACAUGUGAUGUUAGUCGAUGUGAUAUUUCCAAUACUUUUUUCGACACUAACAAGUGAAAAAGGUUAUUGAUAUAUUUCUGAUAAUAAUAGCUUGGAGAAACAAUGAGAUUUUAACGUGUGUCUACUUGCCGAUUUUUGCCGAUCUUCAACUUCUAGUUUCUCGUUAGUUUCUAGUAAAUUUCAUACCGGCAAAUUUCAAGCUCAAUACCGAUGUGUGACUCAGCGAGUGACUUUGAUAUAAAAUAUCAAAGAUAAAAUACAAUAUGUCAACGUAGUUUCAAUAAGAAUAUCCGCGAUAUGUCCACGUCGACAGCCAUGACUAUGGUUGAGACUUCGCGAAGCAUUGGACAAGUUCGUCGACUACCCGAUGUUAAAAAUAGCUGCGCGAUAGUUCCUCCACAAAAUGCUAUAAGCGCGUUUGCUUUUCGUCAUAAACGCGAGACGGUAAGAUAAUCGAUGCGCUAGGUAAAAUGACGUUUAAUAAUGGCUUAAUGCCUUAAUAUCGGUUUGGAUGAAUAUAACAGAUGUCUGUGUAUACAUUACGACCGUCGGACAUUUAAUCGUGCGCAAACCAACAACGGAAAUCAGGCAAGUACGAGCGCGUCGCAAACGCUCGGUCCUCAAAUCUUAAGUUUAAUAAUAUUAAGCCCCAAUCACAUCAUCGAGUCGCAGUUGCGGAUAAUCGGUGAAUGAAGAAGCACAACUUCGGCGAUCGGUUGCGAGGGUGAGAGCACGGCUAUUUUUCGUGAAUCGCGAAUAUUCCUUGUUGGAACUUGUUGCACCCUUCUCAUCUUUUCGUGUUUGCCAAUCGAUCGCCAUUUUGAUGGCGAGUGCAAAAUGUAAAAAUUAGCCAAAAAAAAUUUCUCUAUCUUCCUGCGAUACUUACACGCGGAUAUUUUCGGCUACUUCGACCUCAUAGGUAACUUUUGACUAUCUUCACAAGUUUUCUUCACGUUGGAUAUACCAUCGUGUGUGUCAUUUCAGUUAUCAGGACAUCACACAUGGGGAAAUAAAGCAACUGAAGAAUCUUUCUCUCUCUUUCUCUCUCUCUCUCUCUCUCUCUCUCUUUCUUUCUCUCUCUCUCUCUCUCCUCUUUCUCUCUCGACGUAGUAGAUCCAAAUCUCGUCGUUGCCGUAAAGGGAAAUGUAUCGUUCGAAAAGAUCCACGAUAUGCGCGAAGACCAAGUCUGGCAAGGACUAUACUACUGAUGUCGGCCAUAUCGAAGAUUUGUUCGUUCACUUAGAACGGAUCUUCUCCAUCGGGGGGAUAUGGCCGUUCGAGCGUACGUACGUUCGUUUUGCGAUUUACAUCUUGUAUUUUAUGCUGUACCUCGUCAUGGCGUACGCGAAUUUCUGCGAGGUCUUCGGUGAUCUUGAGCUGAUGGUGAUGAAUCUCGUAGAGACGAUGGCCUACACCACCACUUUCACAAUGGUGUGUAUGAUCCGUUGCAGCGGCUUGCUGAAGCGCAUCAUCGUCGUGAUGAGGCAGGACAUGAUGGAGCAGAAGUUCGAGGAUCCCGAGGAAGAGAGGAUUUACUACAGUUACAAUUACACGUCUAAGAUAUUUCUCUAUGGCUCGAUCGUCGGCAUGUUCGUCACGGUGAUGUUGUUAUA
rnacentral:misc_RNA from 1 species